rnacentral:tRNA from 1 species
GCCGGAGUGGCGAAACAGGCAUACGCGACAGACUUAAAAUCUGUUGAUCUCCUAUAAGGUCGUGCGGGUUCGAGUCCCGCCUCCGGCACCA